GACGAACGCUGGCGGUGUGCUUAACACAUGCCAGUCGAACGGUAAGGCCCUUUCGGGGGUACACGAGUGGCGAACGGGUGAGUAACACGUGAGUAACCUGCCCUCAUCUCUGGGAUAACAGUCGGAAACGGUUGCUAAUACUGGAUAUGAGCUUGCAAGGCAUCUUGUGGGUUGGAAAGAUUUUUUUGGUUGGGGAUGGACUCGCGGCCUAUCAGCUUGUUGGUGAGGUAGUGGCUCACCAAGGCUUCGACGGGUAGCCGGCCUGAGAGGGCGACCGGCCACACUGAGACUGAGAUGCGGCCCAAGCUCCUACGGGAGGCAGCAGUGGGGAAUAUUGCACAAGCGACGGAAGUCUGAUGCAGCAACGCCGCGUGCGGGAUGACGCUCUUCGGGUUGUAAACCGCUUUCAAUUGUGACGAAGCUUUUUGUGACGGUAGCAGUAGAAGAAGCACCGGCUAACUACGUG
rnacentral:rRNA from 1 species